AGUUAUUUAAGAAGCGGUCAUUUUAAGUUUCAAAAUGUUAUUAAACAAAUGUACUUUUUGAGUUCGAAAAAAAUUUCAAAUAAAAUUUUACUUUAUACAUAUUCACUAAAAGUAGUCACUUAAAGGUUAAAGUUGAGAGUAGAUAACCAAAAUGCACUCCCAAAUAAAGGUACAGACCGAGAGCAUACACACGUGAUUAUUACAACGAGCUGGCGAAUGCAAAAUCAAACCUGACCUUGACAAACGGCUGGUUAGGUGGCCGACUUGACCAUAAGUAAGGCAAAAAAGCACCAACAAGGCGACAUGAAAGUUGUGCUACGACUACUAGAUUUUGGCCGGUCUACAAACAGCUGCUAGGCAAAAAGCUUGCAAUACCCACGUGCCUAAGGCUACACGCUGCAAUGCAUUUACAUCACAUAUAGCCAGACAAAAACAGCUGAUUGAAUGCGAGCCGUGUAUUUUCACUUUCUGCAUUACACAACCGUUAACUAAUAAUCAAUAUUCUUACAAUCUCUAACACUGGACAAUUACAGCAGAAUCUUCUGAUAAUUAAACGGCUGCAGCGAAUUAACGUCAUCCUUCGAGCAAGUGCACAAUUUAGAAUUUUGCUAUUUUUUUUUUUUUUUAAUUUAGUAACUAGUUUACACGAAAUCAAAAAAUAUUUGUCAUUAUUGAAAUUUGUAAAAAAAAUAAAAGGUUACAGCUUUUGAAAAUAAAUUGAACUUUGAAUGACUAUCUGCCACACACACGAAGUAUUCAAGCAAUACAAGAAA